rnacentral:rRNA from 1 species
UACGUAGGGUGCGAGCGUUAAUCGGAAUUACUGGGCGUAAAGCGUGCGCAGGCGGUUUGUUAAGACAGAUGUGAAAUCCCCCGGGCUUAACCUGGGAACUGCAUUUGUGACUGGCAAGCUAGAGUAUGGCAGAGGGGGGUAGAAUUCCACGUGUAGCAGUGAAAUGCGUAGAGAUGUGGAGGAAUACCGAUGGCGAAGGCAGCCCCCUGGGCCAAUACUGACGCUCAUGCACGAAAGCGUGGGGAGCAAC